rnacentral:snRNA from 1 species
UUGCUUCAGCAGCACAUAUACCAAAAUUGGAAAGAUACAGAGAAGAUUGGCACAGCCCCUGUGCAAG